rnacentral:rRNA from 1 species
AUUAGAAAGAAUACCAAUUGCGAAGGCAGCUUUCUGGAUCAUUACUGACACUGAGGAACGAAAGCAUGGGUAGCGAAGAGGAUUAGAUACCCUCGUAGUCCAUGCCGUAAACGAUGUGUGUUAGACGUUGGAAAUUUAUUUUCAGUGUCGCAGCGAAAGCAAUAAACACACCGCCUGGGGAGUACGACCGCAAGGUUAAAACUCAAAUGAAUUGACGGGGACCCGCACAAGUAGUGGAGCAUGUGGUUUAAUUCGAAGAUACGCGCAGAACCUUACCAACACUUGACAUGUUCGUCGCGACUUUAAGAGAUUAAAGUUUUCGGUUCGGCCGGACGAAACACAGGUGCUGCAUGGCUGUCGUCAGCUCGUGUCGUGAGAUGUUGGGUUAAGUCCCGCAACGAGCGCAACCCUCACUUUUAGUUGCCAUCAUUUAGUUGGGCACUCUGAAAGAACUGCCAGUGAUAAGCUGGAGGAAGGUGGGGAUGACGUCAAGUCCUCAUGGCCCUUACGUGUUGGGCUACACACGUGCUACAAUGGCAUUUACAACAGGAAGCAAAACGGCGACGUUAAGCAAAUCCUAAAAAAAUGCCUCAGUUCGGAUUGUACUCUGCAACUCGAGUACAUGAAGCUGGAAUUACUAGUAAUCGCGGAUCAGCGCGCCGCGGUGAAUACGUUCCCGGGUCUUGUACACACCGCCCGUCACACCAUGGGAGUUGGUUCUACCUUAAGGCAAAGGUUAAAAACUUUGACCACGGUAUAGUCAGCGACUGGGGUGAAGUCGUAACAAGGUAGCCGUAGGGGAACCUGCGGCUG